rnacentral:piRNA from 1 species
CUCACUUGCAACAGGGGCUUCUGGUC